CGAACUCCGCCGAUGUGGA
rnacentral:misc_RNA from 1 species